UUCUCCUCCUCUCGAAAAGGAUAAGGAGUCUUCUAGACUGCUCCCAAAUUCCUCGCCACCGACCCUCCCCUCUCUUUCCCAGUGACAGCCGGAUUUGAAUUGGGCGAGGAUCCAUCCCCACCCGAGCUCAGAGCUCCGGCAACCAUAGCCGCCGGUAGACAGAGCUCGGAGCUCCCGUAGCCAUGGCUGCCCGUAGACAGAGCUCCGCCGUCUGGAUCUCGCGUCACCAGUCUCCUCUGCUGCCUCUCGGUCUUCCCUUGCUCUGGAUCCAGUCCACCAAGAGCCCAGCCUUGCUGCCAAGUCCAUCGCCGCCGCCUGUGUCCUAUGUCCCGACAGCACACGCCGCCACAUCUGUCCCCCUCCUCGACUGCAUCGGCUCUCCUCCAGCACGUGACCUAGGGUUGCAUGCAUGGUGGGAUGCACCAGCCUGCCAGCCUACCCCGCAGCCCCCCCGCUGACAUGGGCCCGAGGCCCAUGAGGUGAGGCAGCUGCCCCUCCUCGCCUGGCGAGGCAGCUGGAGAAGUAGCUGCGGGACCAGAGGCUGCCGUAGGAUGAGAUACUGUGGUGCUGCAGUGUCUAGUGGUUGAAGAAGGGGUGUGCUGGGAAGAGGAGUUAGUGGUGAGAGUGCUCGAUCUGGAACAGGACAAGCUUGGGCUGCACCGGUGUGUUUGCUGCUACUGAAUUUUUCCAGGGCAUUGCAGAUGUGGAGGAGUUUUUCCAGGGCUAUCUGCCUGUUCCCGGCCGCGCUGGUGUCAACUACCUCGAGCCACUAUGGCCACCCCCAACCACGCUCACCCCCCGGAACAAUAAACAAUUCUAGAGGGAAAGCACCCGGCCUGUGAAACCUAGCGCCGCUAGUUUCCCUGCCCCGUCUUGCCGUCACCGGAGGGGCCGAUCGACGAAGCUUGGCUGGCUCCCGGGAUGGCGGCGGCGGGGCACUUUUCGGGCUUGUGCGCGGCGCAGGUGAGCGCGGCGUUGGCCGCUAGAUUGAGCGUAGUUCCCCACGUGGGCUGCUGGAUCUGGCGGCGGCGGCUGCUCAAUGGAGAUUGUGAUUGUUCGUAGUAGAAUGUAUGCACGAGACAUGAAUCUUGGAUUUUAUAUUGUUUUCCUCGAUGCUUGGGCUUCCUCGAACUUUUUGUAUAUUGCACACAACACAACACAUAAAUUCAUGGAUACUAAAUUUUUAAAUGAUUUGAAAUCAUGUUGUUUUCUAUUCUACUGCCAUUGGUUCAUCACUCUGAACCAAAAUCAAUUGUUGGAACUCUGGCAUAUAUUGGUCCUAAAGUUGUGCUAAAGAAAGAAUAUGACGCAAGCUAUGAUCCAGCCUAUUUGUGAUUUAAACGGUCUGCUGCAUACUCUGCCAUCUGCUGCAUACUUAAUUAUGUUUGCUCGGCCAUAAAAGCCUUACUUGAUUUUUGGAUCUUCCAUUCACCUUCCGUUGCCAUGAGUGGUGAAUGGUCUUGAGGAGUAAUCAUUUAGAUAAUGUAUGUAUUUUGCUCAAGCACUAAUAUUAUGUCUUUGAAUGGCCUAUGCGUGGAUGUGGGAUAACCCUUUCUGUGAUGUUGGUUGGUGCUUACCCUCUCGAGGAUCCAGAAGAUCCAAAAAAACGAAAUUCAGAAAGUAUUGGGUGUUCAGUACUGGAUUUUAGGCUAUGUUCAUAUCUCUAGAGUGCCGAGACCUUAUCUCAGGGAUGUUUUUUGGUAACACGAUCUCGACAUCGAUAACAGCAGAGAGAUAAUAUACGCGUUAUAAUCUUGUAAUUAUAUGUGGAGAAGUAGUUGUGGUGUUCCUUCCACCUUUAUGAAUUAGUCUGUGAAGAGGUGAAUAGUCAGGAGCCCCAUGGAGCCAAACAAAGAUUAUGUUUAGGCUACAGAUUAUAUUCAUACUACAGCUUGAGUCUGAAUUUGUGUCGAUACAUGAAAAAUGUCAUGUGUGCCAAGAAAAGUAUGUUUAGAUGCACAACCAAUUUUGGUGUGCAUUUCUUAUUUAUUUAUUUUUGAGUUGGACGUGUGCAUUUCUAAUUAGAAGUAGAAGAAGAAAGAUGUGACAUGGACUUCCUAAGAUUACAUACACAUCGUUGAAUAGUACAGUUAGAAAAAUAGUAAUAAAAUUCAAAAAUCUUACUUAUUUUGGCGUCAAAUAUGCUGGAGUGUGAUAGCUGUGCGUAGGAUUUCGUGAAGGAAUAACAUAAAUGGUGGUCUGGACAAACGAAAAUUGACUAUUUUUAAAGCUUCUUGGAGCAUUCAUUUUGUUUAAUUUUGUACAAAGCAUCACAACUAUUUUUUUCUUCAUCAAAUUUUGCACACAACCAAAAAAAUGUAAUUUUGUUGGGGAGGAGGAUUGCACAUCUCACGGAAGAUAAAGAUAUCAAUAUGGUUAGACACGAGACCUACUCCUGCACAGUUCAAUCUCAACAUGCAUCUUGUUGUUCCGUGCAGCGCACGGACAUCUUACUAGUAAGUAAAUAAAAGUGUGACGAUCAUCAUUAUUAGAGCAUUGCCCCAUUGAGGAAAGGAUGAUGGAGACUAUGAUUCCCCCACAAGUCGGGAUGAGACU